rnacentral:rRNA from 1 species
GCCAAAUAGCUAGCCUGAGCACAGCCAUAAUCAUAAAAUAUAAAUAAAGAACCCAACUUAGCACACUAAAACAUUUUACCGCCUUAGUAUAGGUGAUAGAAAAG